rnacentral:ncRNA from 1 species
CACAAGUUUUGUUCAUGACGCUAAGCAAUACGCCACGACUGCAGUGCUAAACAUUAGACAAUCGGAGGCCCCCGGAUCUAGUGAAGAAAACAAUAAGGUGGUAAAGUACGUGCCAGCCACCGCGGUUAUACGUACCUACCUAUAGUUAAAUUAUACGGUUAAAAGUGUGGUUAGAAAAAUUUAUUUGAUUACAGCCCUAAGUUAGUCGUAGAAAGCUUACCUUAAAAAGAAUUGACAACCAAUCAAAUUAAAAAUUUGACCCACGAAAGCUAUGACCUAAACCAGGAUUAGAUACCCUGCUAUACAUAGCCGUUAACAACCUAAGCACCAGAGAACUACGAACCUAGGUUUAAAACUCAAAGGACUUGGCGGUACUCCAAACCUCCCUGGAGGAGCUUGCCAUUAAACCGAUAAUCCACGUGAUACCUCACCAGCUUUUGCAAUCCAGCUUGUAUACCAUCGUCGUAAGCCUACUUCCUGAGAAAGUUGGCACCAAGGGAAGCCCCCAAGACGUCAGAUCAAGGUGCAGCUAAUAAGUUGGGAAUAGGUGAGCUACAAUGCCUUUAGAAGCCAGUGAAAAUGAGAAUGAAAUUUUUUAUAGAAAUUGGAUUCAGCAGUAAGGCCCACUAGAAAAUGGGCCUGAAGGAAGCUCUGGAGUGCGCACACAUCGCCCGUCACUCUCGCCUAGCCAAAAGUAGCAAGGGGAGAAAAGUCGUAACACAGUAGGCGCACCGGAAGGUGUGCCUGGAAAGUUG